rnacentral:rRNA from 1 species
UACGGAAGGUCCAGGCGUUAUCUGGAUUUAUUGGGUUUAAAGGGAGCGUAGGCCGUUUGGUAAGCGUGUUGUGAAAUGUCGGGGCUCAACCUGGGCAUUGCAGCGCGAACUGCCAGACUUGAGUGCGCAGGAAGUAGGCGGAAUUCGUCGUGUAGCGGUGAAAUGCUUAGAUAUGACGAAGAACUCCGAUUGCGAAGGCAGCCUGCUGUAGCGCAACUGACGCUGAAGCUCGAAAGCGUGGGUAUCGAACAGG